rnacentral:rRNA from 1 species
UACGUAGGGGGCUAGCGUUGUCCGGAAUCAUUGGGCGUAAAGAGCGUGUAGGCGGCCCGGUAAGUCCGCUGUGAAAGUCGGGGGCUCAACCCUCGAAAGCCGGUGGAUACUGUCGGGCUAGAGUGCGGAAGAGGCGAGUGGAAUUCCCGGUGUAGCAGUGAAAUGCGUAGAGAUCGAGAGGAACAUCUGUGGCGAAGGCGACUACCUGGACCAGCACUGACACUGAGGCACGAAAGCGUGGGGAGCAAACAGG